ACGCUCGACACCUACGGGAGACAGCAGUGGGGAAUAUUGCACAAUGGGGGAAACCCUGAUGCAGCGACGCCGCGUGAGCGAAGAAGUAUUUCGGUAUGUAAAGCUCUAUCAGCAGGGAAGAAACUGACGGUACCUGACUAAGAAGCACCGGCUAAAUACGUGCCAGCACGCCGGACGGUAAUCUGGAGGCGGGUCGUGGACGAAGGC
rnacentral:rRNA from 1 species